AAGGAUCCUCCUCUCUCUGAGGUUAUAGACCGUCGGUUCAGUCUGUCCUGAACCAAAUGAAGACUCUAAACAUGGAGGGGUGUUGUAUGUUGUAUCUAUAUGUAUGUGUGGCUAUAUAGAUAAAGAUUCACUUGACUUGUGUGACUUUUCCGUCCCGAUACCGAUAGCCCAGGUACCGAUAGCCCAGGUACCAAUCCGAUCCCAGUGUUUCAUUAAUAAUCUGUAGGCCUCACUGUGUGGAGGAGACUGGAUCAUUCUGUUCUGUGUGAGACAACAUCAGGCUGGACUGAAACAAAUGAAUACAUGGAUAUACAUUUACUGAAUUGUUAUUUAUUAUUAAAAUAAUAAAUCACA